rnacentral:rRNA from 1 species
GCGUUACUCGGAAUUACUAGGCGUAAAGCGCAGGUAGGCGGUUGGAUAAGUUUCUUGUGAAAGCUCCCGGCUUAACUGGGAGAGGCCAAGGAAUACUAUCCGACUUGAGUAUGGUAGGGGUAACUGGAAUUCCCGGUGUAGCGGUGAAAUGCGUAGAUAUCGGGAGGAAUACCUAUGGCGAAGGCAGGUUACUGGGCCAUUACUGACGCUGAGCUGCGAAAGCUAG